rnacentral:rRNA from 1 species
AUUGAACGCUGGCGGCAGGCUUAACACAUGCAAGUCGAGCGGUAGCACAAGAGAGCUUGCUCUCUGGGUGACGAGCGGCGGACGGGUGAGUAAUGUCUGGGAAACUGCCUGAUGGAGGGGGAUAACUACUGGAAACGGUAGCUAAUACCGCAUAACGUCGCAAGACCAAAGAGGGGGACCUUCGGGCCUCUUGCCAUCAGAUGUGCCCAGAUGGGAUUAGCUAGUAGGUGGGGUAAUGGCUCACCUAGGCGACGAUCCCUAGCUGGUCUGAGAGGAUGACCAGCCACACUGGAACUGAGACACGGUCCAGACUCCUACGGGAGGCAGCAGUGGGGAAUAUUGCACAAUGGGCGCAAGCCCGAUGCAGCCAUGCCGCGUGUGUGAAGAAGGCCUUCGGGUUGUAAAGCACUUUCAGCGAGGAGGAAGGUGGUGAACUUAAUACGUUCAUCAAUUGACGUUACUCGCAGAAGAAGCACCGGCUAACUCCGUG